UACGAAGGGUGCAAGCGUUACUCGGAAUUACUGGGCGUAAAGGGUGCGUAGGUGGUUUUUUAAGUCCGUUGUGAAAUCCCUGGGCUCAACCUGGGAAUGGCAGUGGAUACUGGAAAGCUAGAGUGCGGUAGAGGGUAGUGGAAUUCCCGGUGUAGCAGUGAAAUGCGUAGAGAUCGGGAGGAACACCAGUGGCGAAGGCGAUCACCUGGGGUUGUUC
rnacentral:rRNA from 1 species